CUUGCUCUUGCCCUUGCUCUUGCUCUAUACUGCUCUGUUUUGCCCCUGCUUCUGGCUUUCGCAAUUGCCAUAGUCCCUGCCGCCAUGGAUGUUGCCGUUAGAGUUGUUGGAAACCAACGAUGGAGCUGCCCGAAAACCCUAUUGUUGCUGCUUUAUUAUUUUAUUGUAAGCUAUCUCUAUUUCCAAUUCCAUUGAAUUCAUUUUCAUUUCCGAUUCCAUUGAAUUUGAACUCUCUAGUUUGUUGCAACCUUGGUUAAUGCUGUGAGGAUUACUGAUGUCGCUGUUACUGGAGUAUCAUUGGAAUCGACGUCAUUAUUACCCUAGUUAAUGCUGCUCCCUUCCCAUAUUUCUUUUGUUGCUGUUGCUGUUACUAGAGUUGUGGGUGAUGCCGCUACUGUUCCGGUGGUGUUGGAAUGACUACUGCCGCCACGAUCUGGGGAUAGAGGAAAUUGUUAUGUUAAAUAAUACGAUUGCGACAUCGAGGUAGAGGUUUUCUUAAAAUUCAUUUUAUCUUACAGAGUUGUUGUAAAUAGAUAUUAAUGUGAGAAACAUAUGUCUGUGAUUAUGAUUGUCUUAUAAAUGUGGUUGUUUGCUGGA